rfam:Hordeum vulgare subsp. vulgare, WGS project CAJW01000000 data, contig: morex_contig_433475
AAUAUAUCCUCUCCGUCCCAAAAUUUUUGUCUUAGAUUUGUCUAGAUAUGGAUGUAUCUAGAAGCGUUUUAGUGUUAAAUACAUCCAUAUCAACAAAUCUAACACAAGCUUUUUGGGACAGAGAUAAUACUUG